CUACUAUGUUCGUUGGUAUGACGUUUCCAUUUUUCGGCGGCCUAUUGGCGUUUUUUGGUGGGUUUGCGUUUGCUCCAACAACAUACUUCCUUCCUUGCGUAAUAUGGCUUAAAAUAUACAAACCAAGAAGAUACAGCUUUUCUUGGUGGACUAACUGGAUAUGCAUUGUAUUUGGCAUUUUCUUGAUGGUUCUAUCGCCGAUCGGAGGACUGAGGACGAUCGUUAUUCAAGCUAAAGA